rnacentral:rRNA from 1 species
AACUGAAGCUAAUACCGGAUGAUGACGUAAGUCCAAAGAUUUAUCGCCCAAGGAUGAGCCCGCGNAGGAUUAGCUAGUUGGUGGGGUAAAGGCCUACCAAGGCGACGAUCCUUAGCUGGUCUGAGAGGAUGAUCAGCCACACUGGGACUGAGACACGGCCCAGACUCGUACGGGAGGCAGCAGUAGGGAAUAUUGGACAAUGGGCGAAAGCCUGAUCCAGCAAUGCCGCGUGAGUGAUGAAGGCCUUAGGGUUGUAAAGCUCUUUUACCCGAGAUGAUAAUGACAGUAUCGGGAGAAUAAGCUCCGGCUCAGU